rnacentral:lncRNA from 1 species
GCUGCAGCGGGGCCUGGGACUGUCGUCUCAGCUGGAGACCUUCUCUGCUGCUCCUUGUAGCUGAAAAGUACAACUGAAUUUUCAUAUCUGACUCUUUGCAGGGAUCUGUCAAUAGAAACCCCACUUAUGAGGCAGAAGCAGCUACAAAUUGUACGGUGUGUUAUGGUAAACAAAUGACCUUGAGAGCCAUGGAAAAGUCAGAGCCAUACCUACAGGCCUGCAUGCCACAGUGGGGGCAUCCACGGGGGUAAGAGAUUUCUCUCCAUCCCAUUGCACUUGUGCCUGGUGUCCUUGGAUGAAGAAUGCCUGAAAUCUCAAAUUACCUGGAGAUGUUUUCUAGUAAUACUGAGCUAGAAUAAAAAUAAAUAAAAAG